CAAACACAAUGAAAGCACGAGGGUUUACCUGAAGAAAAGUUGUGUCAACAUGGGUAUUUUUGUUGUAUCAGUAACGACAAAACGCGGCCGCCACAAUGUACUACAACAUACAGCUAUGGAGGUGGACGUCGCUUCAUUAUUUGAACAUUUAUUUAACAAGGUAAACGAAACACUCUCGUCGAGAUACGUAUAUCGAGCAGUCGACCCCCGUCUGCAGACAGCAUCGUUGUGUCAUCGCUUACGAUGACAUUAUCUUUGUGUCAAGAGUUGGGCAUGAGAUUUGUUGUCAGACAGUGAUAUUGGUGUUAUAGGUCUGAACAAGUUACUCAGAAACUGUUUUUGAAAUACAAGUUUGAACUGAUAUUACCUCAGUAUUAACUGUGAUUGAAGUGCAAUUUCUUUUUAGUAUUUAAUUACUUUAUAGUACUGUUCAAGAACAAAAAUAAGAAAAAUACCUUAAAAUCUUUGAUUUAAAACUUAGAUGCAGCAAGUCAUCCGUCCUUAAUCCAUAUUUUAUAUCAGUGUCUUCAGGUUGUUUACAAAGACAUUUUAAAGCUUUAACAUUGAAGUCCUGAAUGGAUCCAUCUUUGAUUUGAAAUGGAUGUUUUAUUGUUUCAUUUUAUAUUUUGUUCAGUGUUUACACUUACAUUGUAUGUCUGUCUGUAGUCUAAUUAUUGUUUUAUAGAAGAUAAUUAUUUUUAAUUUUGUGAUAUAUUUAGAAGUCAUUUGCAUUUAUAAUUAUGUUAGUGUUUUGUCUGUUUUGUAUUUUUGGUAUUUAAAUUAUUCUUGUAUCUAUCAGUAUCUUUACUAUCUUAUAGGCUCUAUGACAGUCCAUGAAAGAUUGAAUUUUAAUGUGAUUAUUGGUGACAAGAGGUUUGUUUUGCAUUCCAAAUUAUCAGUAGGUUAAUUUCCAUGUUUCCUGUAUGUAAUUUUGUUGAAUAAGUAUUAGGUUCUAGUCAUUUUAUUGAAAUCAUUUGUUUUUAUGUGCCAAUCAAGUAUUAGGUUCUAGUCAUUUUAUUGAAAUCAUUUGUUUUAAUGUGCCAAUCAAAUAUUAGGUUCUAGUCAUUUUAUUGAAAUCAUUUGUAACUUAAUGUGCCAAUCAAGGAAAGUGUUUUAUAUAAUUUUGAAUCUUGUUUACAGAAGUGUACUAGCAGUGCAUAAUUUUGAUUAAUACAAUACUGUUGAUUUUGUUUUAACAAUAUGUUUGUUGAUUAUUUUGAAAUAGCGAUUACCUUGGUCUGUUUCAUCAAAACAUCUUUCAUAUCACUAGACUUCAGGAUUUGGUUGAUAGAGACACCAUACCGGUACAUAGAAUUUAUUAUUGUUAUACAUAUGCAUUCUUAAUGAAUGAUAGAGUUUAUCGUUGAAAUGAUUUGCUCAUGCAGGUAAAUUUGAAAUUAAUAAUAUAUGGUUGCAAAAAGGUUGCUCCAUAUUGUUGUGGCUUUAUCUUUUAAUUUCAAUGGAUAGUUCUAUUUAAAACGCUAUUAAACAGUGCCUUUCUCUCUUGUGUAGCUCUAUACACUAUCUCAGUGCUGUGCAAGUCAUUUCUUUACAACAUUUAACCAGUUAAGAAGUGUUUAACACAUGUUUUCACAUUAUUUACACAGUCAAAGACAUUUACUGAUAUUGAGACCUCUGAAAUAAUUCGCUCGCUCCAAAUUUUCAUGAUUUCAAAAU